rnacentral:rRNA from 1 species
GAUGAACGCUGGCGGCGUGCCUAAUACAUGCAAGUCGAGCGAGCAGACGAUGAGCUUGCUCCUCUGACGUUAGCGGCGGACGUGCGAGUAACACGUGGAUAACCUACUUAUAAGACUGGGAUAACUUCGUGAAACCGGAGCUAAUACCGUAUAAUAUAUUGAACCGCAUGGUUCAAUAGUGAAAGACGGUUUUGCUGUCACUUAUAGAUGGAUCCGCGCCGCAUUAGCUAGUUGGUAAGGUAACGGCUUACCAAGGCAACGAUGCGUAGCCGACCUGAGAGGGUGAUCGGCCACACUGGAACUGAGACACGGUCAAGACUCCUACGGGAGGCAGCAGUAGGGAAUCUUGCGCAAUGGGCGAAAGCCUGACGGAGCAACGCCGCGUGAGUGAUGAAGGUCUUCGGAUCGUAAAACUCUGUUAUUAGGGAAGAACAAAUGUGUAAGUAAAUAUGCACGUCUUGACGGUACCUAAUCAGAAAGCCACGGCUAACUACGUG